GACGAACGCCGGCGGCGUGCUUAACACAUGCAAGUCGAGCGAUGAAGCUCCUUCGGGAGUGGAUUAGCGGCGGACGGGUGAGUAACACGUGGGUAACCUGCCUCAUAGAGGGGAAUAGCCUUUCGAAAGGAGGAUUAAUACCGCAUAAGAUUGUAGCUUCGCAUGAAGCAGCAAUUAAAGGAGUAAUCCGCUAUGAGAUGGACCCGCGUCGCAUUAGCUAGUUGGGGAGGUAACGGCUCACCCAGGCGACGAUGCGUAGCCGACCUGAGAGGGUGAUCGGCCACAUUGGGACUGAGACACGGCCCGGACUCCUACGGGAGGCAGCAGUGGGGAAUAUUGCACAAUGGGGGAAACCCUGAUGCAGCAACGCCGCGUGAGUGAUGACGGUCUUCGGAUUGUAAAGCUCUGUCUUCAGGGACGAUAAUGACGGUACCUGAGGAGGAAGCCACGGCUAACUACGUGCCAGCCGCCGCCGUAA
rnacentral:rRNA from 1 species